rnacentral:rRNA from 1 species
UACGUAGGGGGCAAGCGUUGUCCGGAAUCAUUGGGCGUAAAGCGCGCGUAGGCGGCCCGGUAAGUCCGUUGUGAAAGUCAAAGGCUCAACCUUUGAACGCCGAUGGAUACUGCCGGGCUAGAGUCCGGAAGAGGCGAGUGGAAUUCCUGGUGUAGCGGUGAAAUGCGCAGAUAUCAGGAGGAACACCAAUGGCGAAGGCAGCUCGCUGGGACGGUAUUGACGCUGAGACGCGAAAGCGUGGGGAGCAAACAGG